rnacentral:rRNA from 1 species
CAGCGCCACAAGUGGGAAUCGCUUUUAUUGGGCCUAAAGCGUCCGUAGCCGGUCUAGUAAAUCUCUUGUGAAAUCGUUCGGCUCAACCGAGCGGCGUGCAGGAGACACUGCCAGACUAGGGACCGGGAGGGGUCAGAUGUAUUCUGGGGGGAGCGGUAAAAUGCUAUAAUCCUCAGAGGACAACCGGUGGCGAAGGCGUCUGACCAGAACGGAUCCGACGGUGAGGGACGAAAGCCAGGGGAGCAAACCGGAUUAGAGACCCGAGUAGUCC